CUGCCUGCUAUAAACUGGCAGGAUUGUGUGAUACUGAACAACACAGGAGACAGAAUCCCCAAACCGUAAAAUAGCUUGUCUUCAAGAGCUUAAAGUGUCUUUGCCUCCCUACUCGAAGGAAUGCUAACUUCACAAAAAAGCAACAAUGCAGCUAUCUCCAUUGCCCGCACAAAGCCCGAUCGAAACUGUCGCUACACUUACAGAAAUAUCGAUAUUCUCGCGCCAUCCUAUCACUGGUAAUGUGGGCAUUUAAUUCCGACACAAAGUGGUUUGUAUUGAGACUGCAAUUGGGCAAUAGUCGUUUCCAAGACAUGGUUUUGAUUUCGUUAUCAGUUUUGAAAAAUCCUCACGUCCAGUCCUGCGAGAGAGUUACAAAUCUUUCUGUAUCGCGGUAUAAGUAGUUUUUUUUCUCUUUUAUUAAUGCUUUGUCCUGUCUUGCACUCGAACCGUUUGCAAAGGGUUAGUUACACCAUCUGGGCGUCAGCGGCCUGACAUCUUCACCGCCUUACCAGGAAUCCUUCUUUGAACCUUAAAACAGUCACUCAGGGUCAAGGAUGACACCCUUCCACUCUGCAUUAUAGUCCUGAGGUUACUAAAUGUUCCAGUACUCGAUCUGCAAGCCCUGCCACAGGUGGGAAGGUGGUGUUUGAAGUGGAUAGAGCCAGGCCAACUCAGGAUCACCUGUUUGAUUACAAAGAGCCAAUCUCAGCUAUGUCAACUGUUGCAAGUCACACGGACUGCAGCAGUUCAAGAAGGCAGCUCACCACCACCUUCUCAAGGAUAACUAGGGACGGACAAUAAAUACAGGCCCAGACAGCAACAUCUGCAUCCCUUGAGUGAACAAACUAGGAGCAUCCAGGAUAAAGCAACCGACUUGAUUGACACGUCAUUCACAAGAGAAAUUUCUUCGCUCAGCUUGAUAGAUUUUGGACUCUGGGAAAAUCGAGACCAUGAGGAUUGACUGAGAAAUUGAAGAGACCACAAUCUCCAUGAAAUUUCACCUCUUAGCUGGAUCAACUACUAACGAACAGAAUGACCUUGGUACUUGCUACAUUGCAGAUAACAAGCACAGAAAGUCGUCACUGGACGUGCACAUGUAUGACCUUGUGAUGCUUACUGCUUACAAGUUGGCUGCUGGGCAAAGUCCUGAUAUCACUAUUAAAUUGCAAACAAAAUGCACAUUGGAACUUCAUGUCUUUUAUUGGAAGUGCCACUUAAAAUGACUAAAUGAUGAAAGAGAGCUUCAUUUUAUUGUUUAGAAUAAAGGUUUGUCAUGUCACGCUUCUUAGAAGAUAUCAGUCGGGCUUUGUGACCAAGUGACUUAUUAAUUGUAAAUACGACAAAAUGUUUUAAUCAUUUUAAGUCUCCCUAUUCAUAGUGCAACAUGUUUGAUCAUAUACUUAAAACCACAAUCAUCAGUGUAAUUACGGAUGAGCAAUAACAGUUGGCUUAGCUAGUGAUGUCU